GCUGGGCAUGGUGGCACAUGCCUGUACUCCCAGCUACUUGGGAGGCUGAGGUGGGAGGAUCACUUGAGCCCAGGAGGUCAAGACUGCAGUGAGCUGUGAUAAGCCUACUGCACUCCAGCCUGGGCAACAGAGUGAGACUCUGUCUCAA
rnacentral:SRP_RNA from 1 species